GCGGGCGGCGGGCGCCAAUCAGGGGAAUCGCUCGCGGACCCACGCGCGGCCGGGCAGCCCGCCCCCCGCACCCGCGCGGGGACUCCCACAGCGCGGCGACCGUCGGUCUCGCGCCGACCGUUGGUCUCGCGCCGGGCGCCACCUGCGCCCACUCCCCUCAGUGCCCGACCUGGGACCCUGAGAAGGGAGCCGCUGAGAGCCGAGAGAAAGCGGUGAUAAGACGAUGAUGUCGCUCAGAGAACCGAGAUUGAGAAAGACCGGAGCAAGCUGAUAUGGCUGGAGAGGGGCACGAGAAUGAGGGCACAGCUGGCCCUGCAGAGCUGAGAAAAUCCCCUCAGAAAAGAGGGCACAGCAUUUCACCAUCUCGUUCCUUCAGACCAGCUCCUGGUAUAAAGUGAUGUAUACUGAAAGUACCAAACCAAAGGAAAAGAGCAUCACCAAAGCAGGGAAGUUUGCUACACACAGAUGCUUCCAUCCAGAGCAGGCAAGAGAGAAGUGAGACAGGUUUUAAUUACCUCAGUUCCAUGCCUUGGCAGUACAGCCCAGUGCAGUACCUCAGAUUCUUUAACAAUGUAAAGGAGGUAUCUUUCAUCUGAUUCCUAAGUGAAUAAGAAACUUGAAGGAAACAGGAGGGUAGCAACAAGGCAUCUUCUUGAAUCUCUCAUUUUCCUGAACAAGUGCAAUGAUGAGAGAUCUUGUUGGACACAGAAGAGAAGAGAGACAAUAUUUGUCUGGAGCAGCUCUUGCCGGAUGAGAAAUCCCUCAGUGUGCACACAGUUGUUUGACCACCUCGCACAAUGAAAUGCUGCAUCGGGAAUAUCCAUAUGAUAAGGAGAUUGGAGGAUGCUUUUCUGCAUAACUUUAUCAUUCCAAUGGUCUGGAGGAUUUGGAUGAUUGAAAACCAACAAGUAAAUAAAGCCCUAUCUAUUACACAGCCAACUGUUGAACUGGCAAUGCCCUGAAACUGCAUCUUCUCUUCAGCCCUGAGAACCCAGUGAGGCUGGCCUUUCUGUCCCGAGUUUUCAAGAACAUUGGACAUGAUGGAGAAACAAGGUGGCACAAUAUCAAGAUUUGUGUUGAUACCUCAGUGCUACAUAUCACUUUCUGUCUUUGCACUCCUGUGCUGCAGGAGGAGACGGUGCAGGAUGAUAGGUGGGCAGAAUUCAACUAAAGGUCUCAGGACUGAAGGAGCAAACCCCAUCUGCAGCAUGGCUGGAGGAACAUGGGCUCAGGCUCCUACUGAAGCUGCAGUGACACCUUAGGCAGUACCUGGACUGUGGUGAUGCCAUGCUCCCGACCCACCAGAACUCGGCCGUCUUGAAGCUUAGCAAUCCUGGGAUCUUCCACCUUCAUGAAAUCAG